AAAAAUCCACUAGAUUGUUAAUGAUCAUCAAAGAGAGUAACAACAAAUCUAGGAACUUAUCUUUGUAUUCGUAUCUUUUAAGACAACAACCAGGGUUUAGCCCCACAGUUUAAUACCCUCCUCAUGGAGGUGAUCUAAGUCUCACGAUGUGCCUCUAAUAUUUCAAAUUAUGUGGUUGUAAAUAAUAUGUGAGAAAAAUACACAACGAGACAAUGGUGCUCAAGAUGGAAUUCUCCCUGCAAAAUCAGGAAGGCUAUGGAUUAUGGGAAAAUUACAAGGAUGAAAAUGGUUA
rnacentral:lncRNA from 1 species